ACAUUAGUUCUAAAUCUAAAAAAUUUGGCGGUAUUUUAAAAAAUCAGGGGAACUUGCAUAUUAAAUCGAUAAUCCACGAAACUCUUACCUAUAUUUGAAAAUCAGUUAGUAUAUUGCCGUUAUCAUAUAAAUUUAUAAUUAUAUAUAAAUAAAAUAAAUUAUUUUAUACAACAGGUCAAAAUGCUGCUUACAUAUAGGGGUUUUGUGAGUUACAAUAUUAAAAAUAUAUGAAUUAAACUUAAUAAAUAUUUUAUGAAAUUGGACUUGAUAGUAAUUAUAAAAAAUAAUGAAUAAACUCUUAAAAUGUGU
rnacentral:rRNA from 1 species